rnacentral:tRNA from 1 species
GGCCAAGUGGUGAAACUGGUAAACACGCGGCGUUCAGACCGCCGUGCCUUAGGGCAUGGGAGUUCGACUCUCCCCUUGGUCAC